rnacentral:rRNA from 1 species
AGGACGAACGCUGGCGGCGUGCUUAACACAUGCAAGUCGAGCGGUAAGGCCUUUCGGGGUACACGAGCGGCGAACGGGUGAGUAACACGUGGGUGAUCUGCCCUGCACUUCGGGAUAAGCCUGGGAAACUGGGUCUAAUACCGGAUAUGACCUCCUAUCGCAUGGUGGGUGGUGGAAAG